CAGCUGAGGCUGCUCCUGCUUGGCUCCUGAGGGGUCCGGGCUGCCUUUCCUUCUCUUGUCUCCUAGUUACUGCGCUUCUGGGGAUAAGGAAGGGGCAGCUCCAAACAAAGCCCUUGUUUUGUGGGCUUUUCAUUUCUUUUGUGAAACUCUCCUACUGAUUAGGCAACUGUGAGUUUUUCAUCAGUAUCCACUUCUCUAGUGAGUUUCACCAAGCUCUAACUCUAAAAAACAAAAUUCAACAUUUCCGUGCCCUGUGAAGGAUGUGGGUAAACAUGGAGAGAGAAAUCAAAAAGCUUAACACACAUAAAAACCCUGCGUGUCCUCAGACACCACUAUGGACGUUCAAGAUUUGCAUUUCCUGAAGCCACCCUGUGAGCGACUCUGAAAUAAAUUAAAAAGAGUGGUCAAGCCUGAAUGCACACUGAGGUUUUCGUGUGCUCAGCUCAGCAGAUUCAGUUGGCACCUGUUCUUCCCUGUGUGGAUGUCCUCUUGUCAAAUGUAACCCAGAACAUUGGGACCUUAAAGUGGGUGAGGGCAUCAUCCUUGCUUGCCCCUUCCCCUAAAUCCUAUGUCAGUUAGAACGUGAUCUAGAAUUGUGCUCUAUCAAAAAGUUUUCUUUUGGGUUAGAGUUUAUACGCAGUAAGGGGCACACAUCUGAAAUGCAC
rnacentral:lncRNA from 12 species